rnacentral:rRNA from 1 species
GAUGAACGCUGGCGGCGUGCUUAACACAUGCAAGUCGAACGGUGAAGUCGGAGCUUUCUCUGCUGGAUCAUUGGCGAACGGGUGAGUAACACGUGAGCAAUCUGCCCCUGACUCUGGGAUAAGCGCUGGAAACGGCGUCUAAUACUGGAUACGAGCUGCGAAGGCAUCUUCAGCAGCUGGAAAGAACUUCGGUCAGGGAUGAGCUCGCGGCCUAUCAGCUUGUUGGUGAGGUAACGGCUCACCAAGGCGUCGACGGGUAGCCGGCCUGAGAGGGUGACCGGGGACACUGGGACUGAGACACGGCCCAGACGGCUACGGGAGGCAGCAGUGGGGAAUAUUGCACAAUGGGCGAAAGCCUGAUGCAGAAACGCCGCGUGAGGGACGACGGCCUUCGGGUUGUAAACCUCUUUUAGCAGGGAAGAAGCGAAAGUGACGGUACCUGAAGAAAAAGCGCCGGCUAACUACGUG